rnacentral:rRNA from 1 species
UACAGAGGGUGCGAGCGUUGUCCGGAAUCACUGGGCGUAAAGGGCGCGUAGGCGGCCCGGUAAGGUUGCGGUGAAAGCCCGGGGCUCAACCCCGGGUCGGCCGUGGCAACUGCUGGGCUGGAGCACAGUAGAGGCGGGUGGAAUUCCGGGUGUAGCGGUGGAAUGCGUAGAGAUCCGGAAGAACACCGGUGGCGAAGGCGGCUCACUGGCUCGUAACUGACGCUCAGGCGCGACAGCGUGGGGAUCAAACAGG